AUUGAACGCUGGCGGCAGGCUUAACACAUGCAAGUCGAGCGGGGUGAUGGUGCUUGCACUAUCACUUAGCGGCGGACGGGUGAGUAAUGCUUAGGAAUCUGCCUAUUAGUGGGGGACAACAUCUCGAAAGGGAUGCUAAUACCGCAUACGUCCUACGGGAGAAAGCAGGGGAUCACUUGUGACUUCGCGCUAAUAGAUGAGCCUAAGUCGGAUUAGCUAGUUGGUGGGGUAAAGGCCUACCAAGGCGACGAGCUGUAGCGGGUCUGAGAGGAUGAUCCGCCACACUGGGACUGAGACACGGCCCAGACUCCUACGGGAGGCAGCAGUGGGGAAUAUUGGACAAUGGGGGGAACCCUGAUCCAGCCAUGCCGCGUGUGUGAAGAAGGCCUUAUGGUUGUAAAGCACUUUAAGCGAGGAGGAGGCUCUUUUGGUUAAUACCCAAGAUGAGUGGACGUUACUCGCAGAAUAAGCACCGGCUAACUCUGUGCCAGCCGCCGCAGUAA
rnacentral:rRNA from 1 species